AUUGAACGCUGGCGGCAGGCUUAACACAUGCAAGUCGAGCGGAGAUGAGGUGCUUGCACCUUAUCUUAGCGGCGGACGGGUGAGUAAUGCUUAGGAAUCUGCCUAUUAGUGGGGGACAACAUUCCGAAAGGAAUGCUAAUACCGCAUACGUCCUACGGGAGAAAGCAGGGGAUCUUCGGACCUUGCGCUAAUAGAUGAGCCUAAGUCGGAUUAGCUAGUUGGUGGGGUAAAGGCCUACCAAGGCGACGAUCUGUAGCGGGUCUGAGAGGAUGAUCCGCCACACUGAGACUGAGACACGGCCCAGACUCCUACGGGAGGCAGCAGUGGGGAAUAUUGGACAAUGGGGGGAACCCUGCUCCAGCCAUGCCGCGUGUGUGAAGAAGGCCUUAUGGUUGUAAAGCACUCUAAGCGAGGAGGAGGCUACUGAGACUAAUAUUCUUGGAUAGUGGACGUUACUCGCAGAAUAAGCACCGGCUAACUCUGUGCCAGCCGCCGCAGUAACAC
rnacentral:rRNA from 1 species